UACGUAGGGGGCUAGCGUUGUCCGGAAUCAUUGGGCGUAAAGAGCGCGUAGGCGGCUAGAUAAGUCCGGUGUGAAAGUCACAGGCUCAACCUGUGAAUGCCGCUGGAAACUGUCUGGCUAGAGUCCGGAAGGGGCGAGUGGAAUUCCUGGUGUAGCGGUGAAAUGCGCAGAUAUCAGGAAGAACACCAAUGGCGAAAGCAGCUUUCUGGGACGGUACUGACGCUGAGACGCGAAAGCGUGGGGAGCGAACAGG
rnacentral:rRNA from 1 species